rnacentral:rRNA from 1 species
AUUGAACGCUGGCGGCAUGCCUUACACAUGCAAGUCGAACGGCAGCACGGGGGCGAACCCUGGUGGCGAGUGGCGAACGGGUGAGUAAUACAUCGGAACGUGUCCUCUUGUGGGGGAUAACCAGUCGAAAGAUUGGCUAAUACCGCAUGAGAUCGCAAGAUGAAAGCGGGGGACCGCAAGGCCUCGCGCGAGAGGAGCGGCCGAUGUCGGAUUAGCUAGNGGUGGGUAAAGCCUACCAGCGACGAUCCGUAGCUGGUCUGAGAGGACGACCAGCCACACUGGGACUGAGACACGGCCCAGACUCCUACGGGAGGCAGCAGUGGGGAAUUUUGGACAAUGGGCGCAAGCCUGAUCCAGCCAUGCCGCGUGCGGGAAGAAGGCC